rfam:Desulfurobacterium sp. K6013 contig25_length_23131_cov_247.52, whole genome shotgun sequence.
GUUUCAAUUCCUUAGAGGUACGCUUAAAAC